GUCUUCACUUUGCAACUUUCUGUGGUUUUUUUGUGGUGGCCAUGAAGGGUCUCAAAGGUAAAAAGCCUCAACUAUGCUUGAAAUGCCAUGACUGACCGGGGCAGAGAGUAGGGGACAGCAUGAGGAAGAUGCUUGAGUUCAAGGAGUGGGAAUGGAAAGAAGAACAGAUUAGAAGUUACAAGAGUUGAAGGAAAUUCUGUCACAUCUUUGUCUUCGAGCAGAAGGCUAUCAAACAAAGCUGCCCAACCUUACACUCAUCCAUCAUUCUUGAGUUAUUAAGAAAAUAGCUGCAG
rnacentral:lncRNA from 1 species